CAGUCGCCGCGGUAAUACAGAGGGUGCGAGCGUUAAUCGGAUUUACUGGGCGUAAAGCGUGCGUAGGCGGCUAAUUGAGUCGGAUGUGAAAUCCCCGAGCUUAACUUGGGAAUUGCAUUCGAUACUGGUUAGCUAGAGUGUGGGAGAGGAUGGUAGAAUUCCAGGUGUAGCGGUGAAAUGCGUAGAGAUCUGGAGGAAUACCGAUGGCGAAGGCAGCCAUCUGGCCUAACACUGACGCUGAGGUACGAAAGCAUGGGGAGCAAACAGGAUUAGAUACCCCCGUAGUCCCUGUCUCUUAUAA
rnacentral:rRNA from 1 species